rnacentral:lncRNA from 1 species
GUCUGAUCUCAUAGUUAGUAGAAUGACAAAUAAUGAGGAUGUGGAGAAGGUCUAUAAGUUGAUGGGGGAUGCUAAUAUUUCGUUGUAUCUCGGAUGAGAAAAGAUGAUAAAACUUGAGUUCUUAAUCCGGUUGUAUCACGCGAAAUGCUCUAAUGGAUUCAAUAAUAAUGGAGUGAACUGUAUACUAAAACUUUUGGGAGAUAUUCUUCCAGACAAUGCACAAAUCUCAAAGAAUACUUAUGAGACAUCGAAGAUUAUUGAGCAGUUGGACUUUACUUACAACAAGAUACAUGCAUGCCCUAAUGAUUGCAUGCUCUAUU